rnacentral:rRNA from 1 species
UACGGAGGGGGCGAGCGUUAAUCGGAAUUACUGGGCGUAAAGCGUGCGUAGGCGGUUACAUAAGUCGGGUGUGAAAGCCCCGGGCUCAACCUGGGAAUUGCAUUCGAGACUGCGUAGCUAGGGUGCGGAAGAGGGAAGCGGAAUUUCCGGUGUAGCGGUGAAAUGCGUAGAUAUCGGAAGGAACACCAGUGGCGAAAGCGGCUUCCUGGUCCAGCACCGACGUUCAGGCACGAAAGCGUGGGGAGCAAACAGG